rnacentral:rRNA from 1 species
AGAGUUUGAUCCUGGCUCAGGAUAAACGCUGGCGGCGCGCUUAACACAUGCAAGUCGAACGAAGUUUUUCUUUCGGGAGGAACUUAGUGGCGGACGGGUGAGUAACGCGUGGGUAACCUGCCCUGUACAGGGGGACAACAGCUGGAAACGGCUGCUAAUACCGCAUAAGCCCUUAGCACUGCAUGGUGCAUAGGGAAAAGGAGCAAUCCGGUACAGGAUGGACCCGCGUCUGAUUAGCCAGUUGGCAGGGUAACGGCCUACCAAAGCGACGAUCAGUAGCCGAUCUGAGAGGAUGUACGGCCACAUUGGGACUGAGACACGGCCCAGACUCCUACGGGAGGCAGCAGUGGGGAAUAUUGCACAAUGGAGGAAACUCUGAUGCAGCGACGCCGCGUGAGUGAAGAAGUAUUUCGGUAUGUAAAGCUCUAUCAGCAGGGAAGAAAAUGACGGUACCUGACUAAGAAGCACCGGCUAAAUACGUGCCAGCAGCCGCGGU